UAGGGAAUCUUCGGCAAUGGACGAAAGUCUGACCGAGCAACGCCGCGUGAGUGAAGAAGGUUUUCGGAUCGUAAAACUCUGUUGUUAGAGAAGAACAAGGACGUUAGUAACUGAACGUCCCCUGACGGUAUCUAACCAGAAAGCCACGGCUAACUACGUGCUAGCAGCCGCGGUAAUACGUAGGUGGCAAGCGUUGUCCGGAUUUAUUGGGCGUAAAGCGAGCGCAGGCGGUUUCUUAAGUCUGAUGUGAAAGCCCCCGGCUCAACCGGGGAGGGUCAUUGGAAACUGGGAGACUUGAGUGCAGAAGAGGAGAGUGGAAUUCCAUGUGUAGCGGUGAAAUGCGUAGAUAUAUGGAGGAACACCAGUGGCGAAGGCGGCUCUCUGGUCUGUAACUGACGCUGAGGCUCGAAAGCGUGGGGAGCAAACAGG
rnacentral:rRNA from 1 species